rnacentral:rRNA from 1 species
GACGAACGCUGGCGGCGUGCUUAACACAUGCAAGUCGAACGAUGAAGCCCAGCUUGCUGGGUGGAAGAGUGGCGAACGGGUGAGUAACACGUGAGUAACCUGCCCCGGACUCUGGGAUAAGCGCUGGAAACGGCGUCUAAUACUGGAUAUGACCCAUACCGGCAUCGGCUGUGGGUGGAAAGAUUUAUCGGUUCGGGAUGGGCUCGCGGCCUAUCAGCUGGAUGGUGAGGUAACGGCUCACCAUGGCGACGACGGGUAGCCGGCCUGAGAGGGUGACCGGCCACACUGGGACUGAGACACGGCCCAGACUCCUACGGGAGGCAGCAGUGGGGAAUAUUGCACAAUGGGCGAAAGCCUGAUGCAGCAACGCCGCGUGAGAGAUGACGGCCUUCGGGUUGUAAACCUCUUUUAGUAGGGAAGAAGCGAAAGUGACGGUACCUGCAGAAAAAGCACCGGCUAACUACGUGCCAGCCGCCGCAGUAAUAC